AGAGGGGGCAAGCGUUGUUCGGAAUUACUGGGCGUAAAGGGCGCGUAGGCGGCCCGCUAAGUCGAACGUGAAAUCCCCGAGCUCAACUCGGGAACUGCGUCCGAUACUGGCGGGCUUGAAUCCGGGAGAGGGAUGCGGAAUUCCAGGUGUAGCGGUGAAAUGCGUAGAUAUCUGGAGGAACACCGGUGGCGAAGGCGGCAUCCUGGACCGGCAUUGACGCUGAGGCGCGAAAGCUAGGGGAGCAAACGGGAUUAGAUACCCCGGUAGUCCUAGCCCUAAACGAUGAAUGCUUGGUGUGGCGGGUAUCGAUCCCUGCCGUGCCGAAGCUAACGCAUUAAGCAUUCCGCCUGGGGAGUACGGUCGCAAGGCUG
rnacentral:rRNA from 1 species